GCAGCCGCCACGGGAAAACGGAGGGUGCAAGCGUUAUCCGGAUUCACUGGGUUUAAAGGGUGCGUAGGCGGAUCUGUAAGUCAGUGGUGAAAUCUCCAGGCUUAACCUGGAAACUGCCGUUGAUACUAUAGGUCUUGAAUUUUGUGGAGGUUAGCGGAAUAUGUCAUGUAGCGGUGAAAUGCAUAGAUAUGACAUAGAACACCAAUUGCGAAGGCAGCUGGCUACACAACUAUUGACGCUGAGGCACGAAAGCGUGGGGAUCAAACAGGAUUAGAUACCCCCGUAGUCCCUGUCUCUUAUAC
rnacentral:rRNA from 1 species